AUUGAACGCUGGCGGCAGGCUUAACACAUGCAAGUCGAACGCCCCGCAAGGGGAGUGGCAGACGGGUGAGUAACGCGUGGGAAUCUACCCAUCUCUGCGGAAUAGCUCCGGGAAACUGGAAUUAAUACCGCAUACGCCCUACGGGGGAAAGAUUUAUCGGGGAUGGAUGAGCCCGCGUUGGAUUAGCUAGUUGGUGGGGUAAAGGCCUACCAAGGCGACGAUCCAUAGCUGGUCUGAGAGGAUGAUCAGCCACAUUGGGACUGAGACACGGCCCAAACUCCUACGGGAGGCAGCAGUGGGGAAUAUUGGACAAUGGGCGCAAGCCUGAUCCAGCCAUGCCGCGUGAGUGAUGAAGGCCUUAGGGUUGUAAAGCUCUUUCACCGAUGAAGAUAAUGACGGUAGUCGGAGAAGAAGCCCCGGCUAACUUCGUGCCAGCCGCCGCUGUAAAAC
rnacentral:rRNA from 1 species